UCUUGAAUGGUGGAUAUAUUAUUGAUUUUGGCUAAUCACGUCGGCAAUGAUACUUUGAUUCAACAUCAAUCGAUUUGAAGGAAGUAGUCACAUAAGACCAGCCAACGGAAAGCCUGUAACAGCAAGCAAAACUACUUACUGGAUAUCCUAAACAAUUAGCAGUCAGUGCAUCAGGAAAAAUGGGACCCAAGAAUCUCAUGAUUAAUUUUUCAAUUUCUGAUUUGCUUACCUACAUCACUGUCAAGUUUGGAGG
rnacentral:lncRNA from 1 species